GUAGGUGAACCUGCGGAGGGAUCAUUACCCAACAAAAUAUGAAGGCCGGGUGGCUUCGCGCUGCCGGGCUGAAUUAUUUUUUUCACCCAUGUCUUUUGCGUACUUGUUGUUUCCUGGGCGGGUUCGCCCGCCACCAGGACCAAACCAUAAACCUUUUUCGUGUGCAAUCAGCGUCAGUAAACAACGUAAUUUAUUACAACUUUCAACAACGGAUCUCUUGGUUCUGGCAUCGAUGAAGAACGCAGCAUCU
rnacentral:misc_RNA from 1 species